rnacentral:rRNA from 1 species
AUUGAACGCUGGCGGCAUGCUUUACACAUGCAAGUCGAACGGCAGCACGGGGGCAACCCUGGUGGCGAAUGGCGAACGGGUGAGUAAUAUAUCGGAACAUGUCCGGAAGUGGGGGAUGACGUAGCGAAAGUUACGCUAAUACCGCAUAUGCCCUGAGGGGGAAAGGGGGGGAUCGCAAGACCUCUCGCUUUCGGAGUGGCCGAUCUCAGAUUAGCUAGUUGGUGGGGUAAAGGCCUACCAAGGCAACGAUCUGUAGCUGGUCUGAGAGGACGACCAGCCACACUGGGACUGAGACACGGCCCAGACUCCUACGGGAGGCAGCAGUGGGGAAUUUUGGACAAUGGGGGCAACCCUGAUCCAGCCAUGCCGCGUGAGUGAAGAAGGCCUUCGGGUUGUAAAGCUCUUUCGGACAGAAAGAAAUCGUGCAGAAUAAUACUCUGUAUGGAUGACGGUACUGUAAGAAGAAGCACCGGCUAACUACGUGCCAGCCGCCGCAGUAA